AACUGAUACUACCUGCGGGAACCUGCGGAGGGAUCAUUACUGAGUGAGGGCCCCUCGGGGUCCAACCUCCCACCCGUGUUUAACGAACCUUUGUUGCUUCGGCGGGCCCGCCUCACGGCCGCCGGGGGGCUCCUGCCCCCGGGCCCGCGCCCGCCGAAGCCCCCCCUUGAACGCUGUCUGAAGUUUGCAGUCUGAGAAACUAGCUAAAUUAGUUAAAACUUUCAGCAAUGGAUCUCUAGA
rnacentral:misc_RNA from 1 species